rnacentral:rRNA from 1 species
ACGCUCGACACCUACGGGAGGCAGCAGUGGGGAAUAUUGCACAAUGGGGGAAACCCUGAUGCAGCGACGCCGCGUGGAGGAAGAAGGUCUUCGGAUUGUAAACUCCUGUUGUUGGGGAAAAAGAGGAUGGUACCCAACAAGGAAGUGACGGCUAACUACGUGCCGCAGCCGCGGUAAUCUGAGCGGGCUGGCAAGGC